rnacentral:rRNA from 1 species
AACGAACGCUGGCGGCAUGCCUAACACAUGCAAGUCGAACGAGACCUUCGGGUCUAGUUGCGCUCGUGUGCGUAACGCGUGGGAACCUGCCCUUAGGUUCGGAAUAACUCCCCGAAAGGGGUGCUAAUACCGGAUAAUGUCUUCGGACCAAAGAUUUAUUGCCUUUGGAUGGGCCCGCGUUGGAUUAGGUAGUUGGUAGGGUAAAAGCCUACCAAGGGGACGAUACAUAGCUGGUCAGGGAGGAUGAUCAGCCACGCUGGGAGUGAGGACCGGCCCAGACUCCUAAGGGAGGCAGCAGUGGGGAAUAUUGGACAAUGGGCGAAAGCCUGAGCCAGCAAUGCCGCGUGAGUGAUGAAGGCCUUAGGGUUGUAAAGCUCUUUUACCCGGGAUGAUAAUGACAGUACCGGGAGAAUAAGCUCCGGCUAACUCCGUG